rnacentral:lncRNA from 1 species
UGACUUGAACUUUUUACGAUAUGAGUUGAAACUUUUAGGAUAUGAGUUGAACUUUUAGGACAUAAAUUGAACCUUUAGGAUAUGACUUGAACUUUUAGUUUAUGUUUAAACUCGUAGGAUAUGAAUAUAACUUUUAGUUUUUAGGUUUUGUUCUUGUGAAUUGAACUUGUAGGAUAUAAAUUGAAACUUUUAGGAUAUGAGUUGAAUUUUUAGGAUAUAAAUAGAAAUUUUAGGAUAUGACUUGAAGUUUUGUGGAUAUGAAUUGAACCUUUAGGAUAUAAAUUGAACUUUUAGUUUAUGUUUAAACUCGUAGGAUAAGAAUUGAUGAACUUUUAGUUUUUAGAUUUUGUUCUUGUGAAUUGAACUUGUACGAUAUAAAUUGAAGCUUUUAUGUAUGACUUGAACUUUUUACGAUAUGAGUUGAAACUUUUAGGAUAUGAGUUGAACUUUUUGGAUAUGAAUU